UUAUAAGAGACAGCAGCAGCCACGGGAAUACAGAGGGUGCGAGCGUUAAUCGGAUUUACUGGGCGUAAAGCGUGCGUAGGCGGCUUCUUAAGUCGGAUGUGAAAUCCCUGAGCUUAACUUAGGAAUUGCAUUCGAUACUGGGAAGCUAGAGUAUGGGAGAGGAUGGUAGAAUUCCAGGUGUAGCGGUGAAAUGCGUAGAGAUCUGGAGGAAUACCGAUGGCGAAGGCAGCCAUCUGGCCUAAUACUGACGCUGAGGUACGAAAGCAUGGGGAGCAAACAGGAUUAGAUACCCGAGUAGUCCCUGUCUCUUAUAC
rnacentral:rRNA from 1 species